CCAGGAUUUGUUUCAGUAGAGCAUCAGUGCUGCUGACUUGAGGGGUGGAGGUAGAGGGAUUAGAUUGUUGUUGGGAAGAAUUGUUGCCUUUGUUGUUGAAACCAGGAGGAGGGUUUUGUUGUGGUUGAUAGCUGCCUUGCUGAUUGUUUCGAGGCUGGUAACCACUCUGAUGGUUGUUGGAAUAGGAUUUCUGUUGGUAGUUGUUGUACUGAAAGUUGGGCUCUUUCUUGUACCAGCUACCAUUGUUGUUGAUGAAACACAACUCUUCCUGACCUUCCAAACCUUCAACUUCAUGGACAACAGCUGGUGUCUCUUGGGUUG
rnacentral:lncRNA from 1 species